AGGAAACUAAUACAGUUUGACUCUCUUCUAGAAAUUGUGAAAAUAAUAAUAUAUGAAAAUCUGAAUUUUUGCCGUAUUUGUUUGAUAUCGAAAAUGAGAAAAAAGGCAAGAUGACCAGAAGCUACUGACAGAAAAAAAAUUAAGAAGCAGCACCAUUAGUGGAAGCCAACAAGCCUUUCCAUUGCUCCUGGGGAGCUGGUCCCAGGGAAGCCUACUAACUAGAUGGGAGGCAAGCAGCUGUGAGCUGUCUCUUUUAGCACCUGACUUUCCUGGCUUGGCUAAGGAGAUCAAAAUGGAUUUAGAAACUCCAAUAAAAUGGUUUGAAAAGCAAUGGGAUUUAAUGGAAAGAGCUCUGCCCUAGAAGUCACCUAGAAGACCCU
rnacentral:lncRNA from 1 species